CAAAAAGAGAAAAAGCAUCAUCCCAGGCGUGGGCACACCUGAAAGAAACCUAGUCUCAAAUACAUCCUCAAGAGAAAGGGCACUCUUCAUUUAAAACAUAGCUAGAAUGUGCACACAAAGGCAACUUUCUCACUGAAAGUAAUUCAUGUAGGACAAUAAAAGCAAUGCUAUUCUUUUUGCUCAUUAGUAUAUGCAUGAUAGCUGAGAGACUUGAGAAAUGAGAUACCAAAACAAGACCACACCUCUGUGUUGGAGGCAUUAUUAACCAGCAGAUAAGUUAGAAGAAUUAUAGUAAUAGCAUAGUGCAACAUAUGGUACAAAAAUAAACAAACAGGGCCUAUGAGAGUACUCAGGAAAAGCAGGAAGAAGACUCAAUGACAAGGCAUGGAUGUGAUGGCUCAUGACUGAACAGAUGCAACAGAUUGAGGUGGGGGGAGGUUGAAGGAAGGUGCUUUGUGCAAAGCAGACAUGUAAAGGGUGUACAGGGGGGACACAGACAUGCUUGGGUGUAGUUAGAGGAGUAGUCAGCAGAACCAACCAUCAAGAACACAAGUCCCACAGGAAAGGUGUUGAUGUGCUCACGGAUUGUCUUCAUGUCCCGUUGUGCUGACGGGCAUGAACAGAUUGACUGCCAAGGCAGAGUCAAGGACUAAGACUUGAUGAAGCAACUGAAUAUAAAGGAAGCAGUAUCCAAGCAGCCAGAACUGUGGCUGGUCAAGUGUGAGUAAAUACAGGCUCUUAGCUUCAAGAGGAAAAAAGGCUUCAAAGUGGAGGGUAGGAAUGGUAACAGAACACGUGUGCUGUAAAGUGAAAGGGGAAAUACUGGAGGUGGAAGAGCUUGGGGAGGGUGGAGGAGGGAAUCUGGAGAAGGGUCAACUAAAACUAAGCAUCAGGAAAAAUGUCACAGGGACACCUGCUACUUUGUAAGCCAACUGAAACAUUUUUAAGAAAGGAAAUAAAACAUCACAACCAACUGGCUCGCUCCCAAAUGACCUGGAUAUACACUUGCAGUGGAGGGAAGUGACUUGUGAGUCAGUCCCCAGAGGUGUUUGGGAUGGCAAAGGCAUGGGAAUCAUUUAAAUGUCCAACUCAAGAGGGAACUGGUUCAAUAAAUAAGGCAGUUACUCAGAGGAAUCCUAGGAAGCUGUGCAAAGAACGAGAAGCACUUUAGAGAUCACCAAGACAAAGUUUGCAGAGUCAGGAAAGAGAGACGAGAUAAAAUAGCAUAUGUCACAGGGCAUAUGGAAAAAGGAAAAUUCAUACAUAUAAACAUGUACUUGUAUAUGCAUUAAGCUUUGUCUAAAAAAAUACUGCCUUUUCCGAGACUGUGUCUAAGAAUGCAAAGGGCACAAGAGGAACAAAAGCUUUUACUUAGACACCUUUUGAGGAUUUUUUAUUUUGAACCCUGGUAAUAGUUUAUUCAGAAACAUAUUGGUAAUUAUUGUGAAUGUAUUUAUAUACAUAUGUGUUUUGUGGGGUUUUCUUAAUAUGGCCAUGAGGAAAUUUACCUGGCAACAGCAUGAAUAAAGAAUAGAGAGAUAGGAAGUAACAGUGCCAAUAUACUGGUAGAAUAUUUGCAGUUAAACAGAAAGAGAACCAGACAUGAUGUGGAGCAGGGGGUGGGGGUGGGGUGUAAUUUAGACACAAGGCAAAACCAGGAAAAUUGUAAUAGUGAUAAAGUAGGUAUGCUAAGGCAAACAAAUGGACACACAGGGAGAGGACGCACAAAGGUGGAGUUGGGGGGGGGCUAAACUAGUAACGUAUCUGUAGUGCAAUCCUAAGAACCUGAAUCUGGAUCCCUGGCACCCACACAAAAGCUGAGCCUGGUAGCAGCACACACUCGUAACCCUGGUGCUGGGAGAGUGGGAACAGAGAGAUCACUGGAGCUUGUUGUGCCCAACCAACCAGUCUAGACAACCGGUAAUUCUGAGUUCGGUGAGACCUUGUCUUAACAACAAGGUGGAAAGCGAUAAAAGGAAGGUACUUCACUCAACCGCUGGCUUCUGUUGCCCACAUAGGUGCAUGCAUACACACAUCUUAAAAGUAAAAAUUAUGACUGGAAGUACUGGUGAACAUAUUGUUACCUACAAGUAAAUCUGUAGAAAAACCCUGCACAAGACCUAGGAACAUAUUAGAAUUGGAAGUCUUCAUCCUAGACUAGAAGAAGGAUAAAUGAGAGAGACACGUGGGACAUAUGCUGGACCCUGACACCGACUGCAGAGGCAGGCCCUGGUGCCUUUGAAAAGUUCCAGAAGCUGUAUAAUAACCAAAGCCCGAGUUGAGAGAAGAGACCAGGAGGAGACUAUCGUUGUACCAAGUGAUAUACAGGUGGAGACAGGUGGGGAGGGACGACAGACUGACCAGGAGAAGAGAGCCCUUCACACUACAAGACAACGCUGCUGAGUCAGAGGCAGCGGUGAGGCUGUGUGGGCUGGCCAGUGAGGAUAUGAUGGUGACCUGAUGAGAACUGUCUUCCUGGUGUGUCCCAUGAGGAGAGAGUCCAGGCUGAGGGCUGAGGAGUAAAUGUCAACAAAGUGCAGACAAGGUGGGUAUAUAUAUUCCACUUUAGAAACAAUAAUGUGGAGAACCAGCAUAGGGGUCUAGGAACUUGCUUAUGGGCACCACAGAAAGCCCCAAUGAACAGAAAGACUGAGUGAUGGAAGACGAGGGAUGGCUGAAGGGAAGAGUAAGGAAUUUAAUCUCAUGGUUCAUAUUACUUCAGAACCUCCUGCUAGAUUGGUCCAUGAGGGGAUAGGUCUCACUGAAAGGGAUGUACUAUACUUCUGAAAUAUAACCUGCUCGGUCGGUAUAAUGUUACUUGUAUGAAUAUGAUUUCAAGGCUGCUAUCUUGGUAUUAGAUAACCCAUUUGGGAGCACUACCCAGGGAACUCUUUCUCCUGUUCUCAGCAUUCUUCAGUUCCUGUAGUUUCAUCGACGUGGCUGCCUGAACAAGCCCAAACACCACCAACAGACAUGCUAACGUGGAAGGGGGAAACCCCUACAGGGCCUCAACGCUAGACACAGAGAAUACAUAAGUAUUCUUACAUGAUGAGCCCAAGGGCCUAGAAAGCAAGUCUUGUACUCUUUCCACAACUUUCUGUAGCAACCGAAGUAGUGUAUAGAUCUGCCCCAUCCAAUAUGGCUCUAGUAGAGGUAUGUCGCUAUUGUACACUUAGAAUGUAGUUCAUCUGACAAUGAGCUAGAGCCAUUUAAUUACAUUUAAACUUAAAUAACCAUGUGGCUAGCACAUUGGAUUAGACUGUGCAGAGCUAGGUAUCAGAAGACAGCAGAAGUCAGCAAUCAUCUACUGUGCAGAGACCACAAACUUAAAGUGAACUACUACCCAGAUGCAUUGGUCCUUCCCUCCACGAACACAACGUACUGGCUUAGGAGGAGAAAUUCAUCACUAGUCACCAGGUUCUCAAUUCUCUGGUUGUUUCCCCUGAUAUCUACAAACUAAAAAUUAGAAGUAUUCCAAUAGUUGACGUAAUAAAAGUGAUUAAAAAUGAGCUAAUUAAAGUCCAAAAGAAACUUCUGGAUUGAUUGUUGAGACUUUUUCAAUAUCUUUAUGUUAAAGGUUUUUAAAAAAAGGUCAUUUCAGCUGACCUCUAUCCACACAUCUAUUUGGUGAGCUAUGGUUGAGGGAGAAGGGCAGACAGACAGGCAAGGAGCCUGGAAAGGGUUCAGAACCAACCAUCAGGAACUCUCUCCAGGAAAGAGUCUCUUAUGCAAAAGGUGACUGACAGUAAAAGUUUGAUAGUUAUGUAGUGAGAUUUGUAACCCAUAAGAAAAAAGUUAAAAGCCUAUGAGAGAAUGUAAUUUAAAUUCUAUGCAUUAUUCUAAGUAAAGCAGGGGUAGUAUCUAUGUCCCUUGUCCUUUUGUUUUUGUUUUUUUUGAGACAGGGUUUCUCUGUGUAACAGCCCUGGCUGUCUUGGAACUCACUCUGUGGACCAGGCUGGCCUCGAACUCACUACAAUCCACCUGCCUCUGUGUCCUAAGUGCUGGGAUUAGAGGUGUGCACCACCACUGCCCAGCCCUUCUACUUUCAAAGAUACCUGCUAAGGCAGUUUUGAAAAGGCUAUUUUUAAGCUCAAACUUCAUCAAAUCUUUUGCUCUAGCAAGUCAACAUCUUAGAAAUUUAUCUUUUUUGUUUGUUUUGUUUUUCAAGACCGGGUUUCUUUCUCCGUGUAGUUUUAGUGCCUGUCCUGGAUCUCGCUCUGUAGACCAGGCUGGCCUCAAAUCACAGAGAUCCGCCUGGCUCUGCCUCCUGAGUGCUGCUGGGAUUAAAGGCAUGUGCCACCGCAGCCUGACAGAAAUUUAUCUUAAAGAAGAUGGAAAGUCUGAGGGCACAAAAAUGAUUUCUCUAUUUAAAAUGAUAUAGGGAAAUGGAGGGAAAAAUGUACCAAAUAACUGAGAUAAUGUUUUAAAGGGUUUUUAACAGUUUAUAUGAAUCAAUAAAGGAUACCUUAAAAGAGAGCAAGUGGCAGCACAGUACAGCCUAGCAGCAUUACCCAAAUAAGAGAGAUGACCCAACAAAGCCAAGUGGGGAAAUGACCCACUUCCCUUCGGACAGUCAAAGGGCAUCAUCUAGUCCAGCCUGGCACACUUUUCACUUGAGAGCACCCAUUGUUUCCAGACUCAAAGAUCCCUCUUCUGGAGGUCUGAUACAGCAGACAUGUCUAUGUGUGAGUUAUUAAGUUUUGGACUGUUUCAAUUUAAAUGUUUCCUUUAUAAAUAUAUGUAAAUGUAUACUUAAAACUGAUUCGCACGUGUACUCAAAGCAUUAGAAGAUUUGGAAGGGCAACACGGUGCUGACCGGGACAUGAUUAUGAGAUUAUGGAGGCGACUAUUAUUCGGAAAGAGUGUUCAAGAAAUAUUUUUAAAAAUCGUCUAUGUGCUGAUGCAUUUCCCAAAUUUGAAGAUAGCAAGAUACAAAAGUUAAUAAGUAUUCAACACUGAAGAUGACAGAAGAGUCCGUAUUUUAUAAGAACAAUAGAAACCACAAGAAUUUAAUUACAAAUUGAGCUCUGUAAAUGUCAUGGCUCUGGUCCAUGUUAAAUUAGCAGAGAGCCAACCACUCGGGGCUAAAGGUUCCUCUUAGGAGUGAGCAGUAACAAGACAUUCCUGCCAGGUCAAGUCUAAGCCAUGCAAAGUGGAUACAGUUUCAAAGAGGAGUGUGUGGGCAGGUUAUGAAAGAAAAAGAAUGUUUGAAUAAUUCAUUUGAGUGAAAAUUUAAAUUAGAAAAAAAAAACACUGUUCCUCCUUGUCCCAUCAAUUCAUAUAUGUUGAGAUAAUAAUAGUAAUAUUUACCAUUGCUUUGUAAGUGCUUGUUUGUUAUUACUGCUCUAAGUGUCUAACUCAGUAUAUAUAAGUAUAUAUUCAUCUUUCUAUGAUAAUGAGGGUCUAAAACCAAUUUUCUCCCUAACUUAUUUGACAACAAAUUUAACCUGAAUAAACAAAGUAUAUUUAUAAUAUUUAUCCAGCUUGUAUUGAUGCAUAAAUUUCGUUCUAGAAACAGAAAUGUGUUUAGUUACAGAAUGCUUUCUAGAACCCUCAGACUGCUUUCUCAAACACCAUAUAUAAAAACUAUAGAUUCUUUUUUAAAUGUGAAAAAGUCCAAAUCCGAAACUAUAUUCACAUUAGGGAUAUGGAACUGAAUCCACAUUUAGUUUGCCUUUGAUGCUGGUACUAUUUUCAUCCACACUCUGCAGCUGAGGGGUCAAGGCACAGGUCACAGAGGAAGGGAAGGGGUCCAUGGCCCCCAAAGCUGUAUUCCUAAUCUCUCUGCUACUGCUCUAAAAUGUUCUGGGUACCAAUCAUUUUAUGAUGCCAAACCCCAGCAGGCAGCAAGUGUGAGGUUACCUGAGGCACGGAGCUUCUCCAUGCUCAGCUGGUGAACAUCGAAGAUCCCAACUUUCUCCAUACAAAUACACCUGCCCACUAUACCUGAAGGUCUGAGACCGAGGUGCAUGGACUCUGCUAGAAGAACUGCAAUCACGUCGUCAGACCUUCAGUGUUACUGUGGCAGGCUGAGCAAUUGAUGCCUAACCAUCCACAACAUAAACGUAUCAUCAUCCUAAUGCGGAAGUCAGUGAAUACAGCAGAGGGGACUUUACAGACAUGACUUAAGGAUCUUAAUCUGGAUUACUGAGGUAAUCCGAAGUAUAAUUACAAAGUGCUUAAAGCAAGGCAGGUUAGAGAUAAGCCAUGGGAAGCAGAAACACUUCGGAGACCAGCAUGGCCGAGUGAAGGAAAGCUGGUAGCCUCUAGAAGAAGUAAAGAAAUGUUUUCACCUAGAGAUUUACAGAAGAAAAUCGAUCUGCACCUUAGUUUUACCCCAGUGAGACCAUUUCAAACUUCUGUCCUCUAGGAUUGCAAGACAGUGAACUCCUGCUAAGUGACCACAUUUUUGUAAUUCAUCAUGGCAGUGCUGUUUCUGGGUCCCUACCAACACUCGUGCUGAAAUGUAAUCUUCAUCAUGAAGUAUAAAGAAAAUAAACUCACCACAGUACAGUGUUUGGAAGUGGGACCUUCAGGAGGAAACUAAGGUUAAAUGAGGCCAGAGGAGUGGGGACUGAAUCCAGGAAGAGUGUUCUUUAUUGGAAGAGGACAGAUUACAGCUAGGGAGCUCAGUUCCUCACCCAAUGUGCACGACCCCCACCCCACUCCUGCUGCCUGAGGACUCUGCAGCCCCCACGAGCAAGAGGGAUAUCACCAGAGGCAGCUGUAUCUUGCACUUCCCAUAUUCCUCAAUCAUAAGCUAAUGAAGUAUUUUUUCUUUGUAAAUUACUAAGCCUGCGGUAUUCACUUACAGCAACACAGAUGAUAACAAGUGACAUUAAACUCAUGUUUGCCUUUUCCCAUUUUCUUACUAAUUCUUGCUUUCUGUGUCUAAAGAUGUCCAUCCUGCUCUGGUGUUGCUGGAAGAAUUUCCUGUAUUUGCUUCUAAUUCAUAAAUUUUGUUUUCCAUGUGUAGGCUGCUUUUACAGUAAAAGACUCUAGUUACUGUUUUUUUUUUUUUAAUGUGAGAGCCAAUUGUCUCCAUAAUAUUUAGUGAUAUUACAUACACUGUAUACUAAACAGAAUAAUUUAUCUUAAUUCUGAAUCUACUUCUUAAGACGUAUGUGUCACCAGAAUCAUAAUUCCACUCCAGCUUUUCCUACAAGCUUUUGUUACCAUGUGUCCUUGGCUUUUCUGCUUAUAGUUGUCCAGAUAAGAAUUGUUACUUCACCAAGCCAAACUCCGAUGCCACGCCACCAUGGAGACACUGGAGAAGCAAGGCUCAGACUUCUGCUCCCAUGGUAAUGCAGCAACAGGCUACCCAACAAGACACGGGGCCAACAAUGACUUGUCUCAGCCUGGCAGCCUGGAACUCACACUCACCUCCUCUAAGAGCCAAUAACUGCUCAGGUGUCCUAGUCUCAUGUCCCUGCCCACUAUUAUUAAAAUAGCCUGUUUAGCUUUGAAGUGCUUCAUCAACAGAUGGCAGUGGCAAAUGACUUUCCCCAUCACCCUUCCACUUUCAAAGCUACACGGAGCAUUUUAAGAGGAUAAGAUCCAAGCCCACGACAAACCCAAAGUACAGUUCCUGUUAUAUAAUAAACUGGGAAACAUGAAUGGACUGUAUACAGGUACUGCCUGUUUAUAUUUGGUAGGACUGGAUCAUCUGCCCAAUUAUUAAACAAUAGAGUCCUGAUUUUUAUGGCCCUGGACUAAUCAGAGAGGAACUAUAGGUCACUGUCUUAGUUAGGGUUUUUAUUGCUGUGAAGAGACACCAUGACCACAGCAACUCUUAUAAAGGAAACAUUUAAUUGAGGGGGCAGCUUACAGUUCCAGAGGUUCAGUCCAUUAUCAUCAUGGUGGGGAGCAUGGCAGCAUGCAGGCAGACAUGGUGCUGGAGGAGUAGUUAAGAGUCCUACAUCUUGCAGGCAACAGGAAGUUGACUGAGACACUGGGCAGUAUCCUGAGCAUAGGAAACCUCAAGGCUUACUGUCAGAGUGACACACUUCCUCCAACAAAGCCAUACCCACUCCAACAAAGCCACAUCUCCUAAUAAUGCCACUCCUUGUGAGAUUAUGGGUGUCAAUUACAUCCAAACUACCAAUGUCACACAAUUCAAAACAAACUUAAUGAUCUGUACCUUGUCCAUGGUGACUUCAGUUCAGUAGCUGUGAUUAAUGGUACUGAUAUUUAACAACAACAACAACCA